rnacentral:lncRNA from 1 species
CCAGAGAUAAGUGAUUAAAAGAAUAGUAGUCAUUCGGGUGACCCCUUGUGGAUGAGUGCUUAAUGCUUGCAGAUGGUUGGUUCUUAUAGCUUGAAAAUGAAAUACAUUGUCCACUAAUACUGCAUUCAUACAUGUAGCUUAUUAUGUGCAGGUAAAGUCCAUUAGUUCUGGCCUAGUCAGGAUUGUUCAUUUUAACAUUUUGCAUUUAAUGGAAGUGCUACAUUGAUUCAUAGUACCUGUGCUCUAAAAUACUUUUGGGGUUUAACAGAGGAUAACUGAAAUUCUAAGAAUAUUUCUUAGGCUAGAAUAUGUGAUAUGGUAGUUACUGGUUCACAUUGUACAUAGUUAUUUUGAACGGUAUAUACAGUACGUAUUGAUACCCAUGGUAUGGUAGUUAUUUGGACCAGUAAUGGCAGUAUCUUGGAACCUGUCAUAGUUCCAUAAGGAAGAAGGGCAGUCGUAAUGAAAAUUAAACCGCGAGUUUAAAGUUCUGGGUUAGGGCAAUCCUAUUAGAUUUUAGCGGUGCCAAAAAACCAAGACAACAUGAAGAAAUCCCCAUCUUUUAGGGUAACAAGUGCUGCCCAGCAACACUGGAAAUUUAGGUUCAUUCCCAGAAAGAGUGCUGCUCCAGGUGCUUGGAACACAUUAAUUGAAAAUCAAAGAUUCUGGCACUUGAUGAGUUUAUAUUCCAUUCGUUUUCUUUUUAAGAAAUUAUUAUUUGGCCGGGCGUGGUGGCUCACACCUGUUAGUUCCAGCACUUUGGGAGGCUGAGGUGGGUGGAUCACCUGAGGUCAGGAGUUUGAGACCAGCCUGGCCAACAUGGUGAAACCCCGUCUCUACUAAAAAAACAAAAAUUAACUGAGCAUGGUGGCGGGUGCCUGUAAUCCCAGCUACUCGGGAGGCUGAGGCAGGAGAAUCACUUGAACCCAGGAGGUGGAGGUUGCAGUGAGCUGAGACCCACCGCUAUACUCAGCCUGGGGGACAAGAACGAGACUCCAUCUCAAAAAAAAAAAAAUUAUUAUUUUUCUUUUUUUUCGUGGUUUUCUAAUGAACUGAUGUUCCCAGGAAAAUAGAUGCUGAGUGCUGAUUGUGAAUGGAACCAGUAAAGGCCUGGGAUAGUCUUAAAGUACAAUCACCUUUGCUGCUAUAAAAACUUCAAAUAAUACUUCAUUUUACUGAUUACAAAAUAAGCCCACAAAAGUCACAGGAUGGUAACAUAUUGUUCACCAGUCUCUUCUCUCUCAUUUUAUUUGUUUAUUUCAGGCUUACUUACUUAUUUAUUGUAUAAAUUUAAUGUGUACACAUGAUGUUUUGAUAUACAUAGUGAAAUGAUUGCUGUAUGUAAGCAAUUUAAGAUACCCAUCAUCUCACAUAGUUACUUUUUUUGUAUGUGCUAGGAACAUUUAAAAUCUACUUUUAGAAAAUUUCUGGUAUAUAAUAUGCUAAUAUUAAUUAUAUUGCUCUUGCUAACUUUAUUUAUUUUUUGAGACAGAGUCUUGCUCUGUCACCUAGGCUGGGGUGCAAUGGCAUGAUCUGCGUUCACUGUAACCUCCACCUUGGGUUCAGGUGAUUCUCAUGCCUUAGCCAUUGGAGUAGCUGGGUGUGUGCUGCCACACCUGGCUAAUUUUUUGUAUUUUUGAGGAGAUGGGGUUUUGCCAAGUUGGCCAGACUGCUCUCGAACUCCCGGCCUCAAGUGAUCUCCCUGCCUCGGCCUCCCACAGUGCUGGGAUUGAUUACAGGCAUUAGCCACCGUGCCCAGCCCUCAUGCUAUAUUUUAGAUCUCUAGAUUUAUUCAUCCUACAUAACUGCAACUUUGUUCCCUUGACCUGCAUCUCCCCUACUCUCCUAGCCACUGUUCUAGUCUCUGUUUCUAUGUAUUUGACUUUUUUUUUUUUAAGAUUCCACAUAUAGAAGAGAUCAUUUAGUGUUUUUUUUUUUUCCUACGUCUGACUUGUGUCACUUAAGACAGUGUCCUCCAGUUUCAUUUGUUUUGUUGUAAAUGGCAGGAUCUCCUUUUUGAAAGCUGAAUACUAUUCCAGAGUGUGUUUGUAUCACAAUUUCUUUAUAGAGCCAUCCACUGACAGACGUGUAGGUUGGUUCCAUAUCUGAGUUAGUGUGAAUAAUGCUGCAGUGAACAUGGGAGUGCAGCUCUCUCUCAGAGGUGCUGCUUUUAUUUCUUUUGGGUUAAAACCGAGAAGAGAGAUUGCUGGAUCAUAUGGUGGUUUUCUUUUUAAUUUUUUUUUUUUUUUUGAGAUGGAGUCUCACUCUGUUGCCCAGGCUGGAGUACAGUGGCAUGAUCUCAGCUCACUGCAACCUCUGCCUCCCGGGUUCAAGUGAUUCUCCUGCCUUGGCCUCCUAAGUAGCUGGGACUACAGGUGCCUGCCACCACACCCGGCUAAUUUUUUUGUAUUUUUAGUAGAGAUGGGGUUUCACUGUGUUAGCCAGGAUGGUCUCCAUCUCCUGACCUUGUGAUCUGCCCACCUCGGCCUCCCAAAGUGCUGGGAUUAUAGGCGUGAGCAACUGCGCCCAGCCCUUUUUAAUUUUUUGAGAAACCUACAUACUGUUUUCCAUAAUGGCGGUUCCAAUUUACAUUUCCACCAACAGUGUUCAAAUAUUCCCUUUUCCCCACUCCCUCAUCAACACUUAUCUCUUGUCUCUUUGAUAAUUGCCAUCCUCACAGGUGUCAGGUGAUACCUCAUUGUGGUUUUGAUUUUUUGAUUUGUGUUUCCCUGAUGAUUAGUGAUGUUGAGGCAUUUUUAUGUCCUAUUUGGAGAAAUAUCUAUUCAAGUCAUUUGCCCGUCUUAAAAUCAGGUUAUUCAUUUUUGUUUUUUGCUAUUGCGUUGUGUGAGUUCCUUACGCAUUUUGGAUAUUAACAGAUACAUAAUUUGCAAAUAUUUUCUCCAAAUCCGUAGGCUACGUUUUCAUUUUGUUAAUUGUUCUUUUGCUAUGCAGAAAUGUCUCUCAUUUUAAAUUAUUCCCAAUAGUAGUAAUGGAAUAAUAAUAAUGGAAUAAUAGUAGUAUAGUAUAGUUUCUUUUUUUCUUUCAACUGGGUUUCAUAAGAGAAUAAACCCAAAUGCCCAAAGACAUUUGGACAUUUGUUAUAUGUAAAUAAUUAACUUUUCUCCAAUGUAGGAUGGCACUAGUUAUGUACCAUCCUUGUGAGAAUUGAGAAAGUAUCCACUCCGACCAUUGUCAAUGUUCUGAGGUUCAGAUAACAAGCCCCAGUUGAGAAAGGUCACGGGCAUUGUCACCAGUUAGAUCUGUUCUUUCCCCCAGCUCCUUCUUCCUUCUACCAGUUAGGUAGAAUGAUGUUAGGCAAGUCUUAAUCUCUUAGUCUCAGUUUUCUGAUCUAUAAAAUGGGAAUAAUUAUAGUUGCUACGUCAUAGGGCUGAUGUGAGGAUGAAAUAAACAAAAUCUUCUACAUCUGUAUUUAUUUAGUUCCAUGACUUUAAAUACUAUCUAUAUGCCAGUUGACUCACAUUUAUGUCUUCAGCCUAAGCCCCCUCCCCAAGAUUGAGUGUCAUAGUUCAUCUGCUUGUUCUCACUUAUACGUGGGAGCUAAAUGAUGAGAAAACAUGGACACACAGAGGGGAGCAACAGUCACUGGGGCCUAUUGGAGAGUGGAAAAUGGGAGGAGGGAGAGGAUCAGGAAAAAUAACUAAUGGGUACUAGGCUUAAUACCUGGGUGAUGAAAUAAUCUGUACAACAAACCCCCAUGACAUGAGUUUACUUAUAUAACAAACUAUCUAAUAGACAUCUCAAACUAAAUUUGUACAACACAGAAGGUAUGAUUCUUAUUCUCAUUAUUUCCUCUGAAUCUGCUCUUAGUAUUAAUAAAUGGCAGGACCAUUCAACUAGUUGCUCAGGCUAGAAUCCUAAGUGAUCUAUGAUUCUCCUUUUUUCUUUAUACCCUUUAACCAGUCUAUUAGCAAAUCAUCUUGGCUCUAUUUUCUGAAUACAUUUCUAAUCUGAUCACAUUUUGUCAUCUCUGCCUUAUUCUGGUUUAAACCACCACCAUCUCCUGUGUGGGUAAUUAUAAUAGUCUCUUAUCUGGUUUCCUUGUUUUCUCACUUGACCUCUUAUAGGCUGUUUUCUACUUCAUAACUAGAAUGACCUUUUCAAAUGUUAAUCACUCCUUAAUACUUUAGAUGACAUCUAAAUUAAAUUACAAUUAUUAUUUAAAAAUUUUUUUUUUUUUGAGACAGAGUCUUGCUCUGUUGCCCAGGCUGGAGUGCAGUGGCAUGAUCUCGGCUCACUGCAACCUCUGCCUCCUGAGUUCAAGCGAUUAUCCUGCCUCAGCCUCCCGAGUUGCUGGGAUUACAGGCACACGCCACCACGCCCGGCUAAUUUUUGUCUUUUUAGUAGAGAUGGGGGUUCACCAUGUUGGUCAGGCUGGUCUCGAACUCCUGGCCUUAAGUGAUCUGCCCGCCUCGGCUUCCCAAAGUGCUGGGAUUGCAGGCGUGAGCCACAGCACCUGGCUAUUUUAAAGUAAUUUAAAAUACAGAAAUUAAAAGAACAGCCAAAUUCCUAGCCAUGACCUGCAAAGUCCUACAUGAUGUAGUCCCUGCCUCCCUCUCCUUGUUUAUUCCACUUCUGCUACAUUGAACUAUCCGUAUUCCCUGACCGGGCCAGGCAGACUCCCAGGGUUUAAAACUUGUUCGUCCCUUUCCUCAAGUUUUUGCACUGCUGGCUCGCUCACAUAAUUCAGGCUUCUGUUUAAAGAGAGUGCCUCAGACUUCACCCCUGUAGAGAGAUCUUCACUGAAUACAGUGUAAAAUAGUGGCCACUCCCUACAUCCCCUAUCUCUCUUGCUUUACUUUUUUUUAUGGCACUUAUGCUUCCUGAAAUAGAAUUACUUGCCUACCUGGUUAUUAUUUGUCUUCCUUACUAGAAUGUAAACUCCAUGAAAGCAGGAACCUUGGAUAUGUUGUUUAUUCCACUGCCUAGAAAAGUCCCUAGCAUGUGGUAAACUAGGAGUACAACUCCAGGAAGUUGUCUGUGGAGUAAAACUGUCUCUAAAUUAGAUUAUCUGAUUUUUUUUUUUUUUUUUUUUUUUUGAGACAGGGUAUCACUCUGUCUCCCAGGCUGGAGUGCAGUGGUGGGAUCAUGGCUCAUUACAGCCUUGACCUCCCAAGACUCAGGUGAUCCUCCCACCUUGGCCUCCAGGGUAGCUGUGACUGCAGGCGUGCACAACCACACCCUGCUACAUUUUUUUUUUUUUUUUUUUUUGAGACAGAGUCUCACUCUGUUACCAGGCUGGAGUGCAGUGGUACGAUCUCGGCUCAUUGCAGCCUCUGCCUCCUUGGUUCAAGUGAUUCCCCUGCCUUAGCUUCCCAAGUAGCUGGGACUACAGGUGCAUGCCACCAUGCCUGGCUAAUUUUUUGUGUGUUUUUAGUAGAGAUGGGGUUUUGCUAUGUUGGUCAGGAUGGUCUCCAUCUCCUGACCUCGUGAUCCGCCCGCCUCAGCCUCCUAAAGUUCUGGGAUUACAGGUGUGAGCCACUGCACCCGGCCCCCUGCUAAUUUUUUUAGGGAUGAGGUCUCACUCUGUUGCCUAGGCUGGUCUCAAACUCCUGGGUUCAAGUGAUCCUCUCACCCCAGCCUCCCAAAGUGCUGGGAUUAUAGGCAUGAGCUAAUGCACCUGGCUAGUUCAAGUAAUUCUUAAGCUAAAGGAGGACUGUUGAGUCAGUUAAACAAUGCUGUGAAUUCUUUGCAUUGAGUACUUACAUGUGAAAUGUUAGAAUUUAGAAUUUAUAACAUUAUCAAGAGCAUAUAAUUGUUCAUCGAGUGUGCUAAGUAAUAUGUGAAAACAAAACUUGAAUUUUUAGCUCUUGUUCUGGUUGCAAGUGUUUAAGCUAUUUGUUGUCCCCUAAUGAUAAUGGUAGUAAUGUUAAUGUAGUAGUAAUAUUUCCUCUUGUUUCUGGUAAGUUAUUUUUCCUCACCCUAAACUCCUGAUUUAAAGUCUCUGUUAAGCUGGGCAUGGUGGCAUGCCUAUAGUCCUAGCUACUUGGGAGGCCAAGGCCGGAGAACUGCUUGAGCACAGGAGUUCAACACUAGCCUAGGCAGCAUAGCAAGACCUUGUCUCAAAAGCAAAAAAAAAAGGAUAACGUCUCUGUUGCUUUUGAUUUUUUUGAGAUACAUUGUUGUUUUUAAACAAAUACAGUAGUAUUUAUGGAAGGCUUUUUAAAGUUUUGCCGUAUUUUAAGACCUUAGUCCCUGUACCAUAAAACUCUUUGGUGAUGGCCACUUUUAUUUGAUAUAAUUCAAGUAAGCAGCCUUGAUAACUGAUAGCAUUGGAAAUAAGUGGUUAACCUAAUUUAGAACUAGGAAGAUUAUAUUUCAAUGUUAAUAAAAUUUAGAAGCAUCGUGGGCCGUUAUCUUUUUUAUGAAGUAUCAUUGAACUUUGUUAUAUAACCAAGUAUUCAGUCAUGUAUAAUGAAAUUUAGUCAGUAAUAUGAUCAUAGUAUCUGCCUUCUCAAAAUUUGCUCAUUCUUUUGGAAAGAAUGAGGGAUGGAGAAUGAUGGAAAGAUUUGUGUAAUUUAAUGAUGGUGGUGUGGUGGGGGAGUAGACAGAUGCACAUAUAAAGGAAUAACACUAGCACACUGAACAUUUACUGUGCAGUCACUGUUCUAAGAAGUUUCAUGUAUUUUUUUAUUUUUAAAUUGGCAGAUAAAAUUGUAUGUAUUUCUUGUGUGCUACAUGAAGUUUUGAAGUAUAUAUACAUUGUGGAAUGACUAAAUCUAGCUAAUUUACAUAUACAUUACUUCAUUUAGUCAUCAUUUUUGUGGUGAGAACACUUAACAUCCACUCUCUUAGCGUUUUUCCAUGUAUUAUUUAACGCACGUUUAAACUUAUGGGGUAAAACCUUAUUUGCAGAUAAGGAAUUUGAAGCACAGAGAGGUUAAGUAACUUGCCUAAGAUCAUGCAGCUAGAAAGUGAUGCAGACUGGAUGAGAAUUCAGAAAUGAAAAAAUGUUGGUGGAGACUAGCGGGGGCAGAGCAUAGACAUGGCCAGCCUCAAUGACAUAGUUUUGGCUGAUAGAAAACCCCAUCCAAGUAUUGUCAUGUGGGCAGGACCAUGAUAUAUGGGUGUUCAGGAAUUCAUGGUGACAAUGAGACGGAACUUUAGAGACUACCUAUUGCUUUGAUUUCUUAAAGCAUGUUUCUAGUUCUGUUUUGCCAAGGAGAGGAAUAGAUGUUAGAAGAGAACAGUAAUUGGUGUAAGGACUGGACUUCGCUAUUAAAAAGUGAAUAUUAGUGAAUCUUUAUGCCUUGAAAUACGAAGCUUUUCUUGGUAGACCUUGAAACCUAAUGAUAUUAAGGAGCAAGGUUAAGCAAACUGUCUAGAGUGCAAAUAGAGAAUAACAACUUACAUUUAUUUAUAGUUUUUUAGUUUAUAAAAUACUUUUGUAAACAUUUUCUCAAUUGAUGUGAAUAACACCUCUGUGAGACAGGCAGGCAGAUGUUAUUCUUCCAUUUGACAAAUUUCCAUGGAAGAGAGAGGGAGCUGCCUUAGGAAUGAGCCCCUGAAUAAUCUCAACCUCUAGUUGUUCUUUUUUUAAUGAUGCAACCAGAAAUGAACUGGUUCUGGUUCUGCAACCAAAGCCUAGAAAUUGCUAUUUCUUUGUAAAGUUGCCAGAGUAUGAGUAGUGGUCUUCUAUGUUAUAUGGUACUGCAGGUUUGAUCUCUAAAGUAAGUGAUUGGAAAGCUGCUUAAUCUGGAAGCAGAAGUGCUUGGCAUUACGAAUGGGCCAAGAUGGCUUAUGGUAAUUGGCAUGUUCUUAAAUAAUGUUUGUUAUACCAAAAGCCUAGGCGUUUUACAUAAAUUUAGAUUAAAACUAUAAUUCUAAUGGCAGCACUAUAAUAUCUUUUAAACCAAUAUUUUAAUUAAAACCUACUAGUAGGCUGCAGUAAUACUGAAGUGGUUUUGACUGUAUCAUGGAUUAGCAUAGAGGUGGGGCACUUUACUCUUUAGAAGUUGAAAAAGAAAGUCUGGUAGCUUCUAAAAAGGCAGAUAUGUGGCAGUAGUGAAAUGUUGAUAAAAGUUUAGUAUGUCCCAUUUCUCUUGUUCUUUUGAGAAUAGUUUGAAAUACUUUGGUUAAUUUAAAUUGGUCUAAGAUAUUAAGAAGGAUUUUUCAAAACUCUCAAAGCUACGCCAUAUAAAGGAAUAAAAUCCAAUAUGAAUUCACAGAAUCACUUAGCUUUAAAGUAAUUGAUUAGUGACAAAAUGUGACUUAGUUUUGCAAAAAUCUAAGAAAUUGGUGAAUAUUUUAUAUUUUUAUAUUCGUAUUUAAGAUGUCUUUCAGUUCUUUCUGUUAUUUUUUCCUGGUGCUGUCUUGUACUGCCUCCUUAUCACCUCCCUCUUCCUUUUCGUCUGCCAUCUGUCGGUUUGGCUCCUUAUUUCAGAGUAGGCAGGCAGGAAAGGGUUUUUGUACACAAGAUAAAACUAGUGCUGUUUGGGAGCUCAGUGAGCCGGAGUGCUUUAUGCAGUAACUCUGCUGACAAUAAAUUCCAGAAGUACCAUAGGCCCAUAGGACUAGAAAGACAGCAAUGAUUCUGCAAUAUUGUCUGCAAUUUUUUUUCUGUGACUGUUGCUUUAUUUAAUAAAAAAAAUUUAAAAAUAAAUAAUACUUAAACACUUUUUUUCACAGAGAGCUAUAAAUUGGUUAGAUAUUGUUAACAGACUUGCAAAUAAGAGUAAUUAUUAUAUAGGAGAGCUUAGCAUGUUGAUUACUUGUGAAGUUCAUGUCAAAUGAUUCCUUAUGGUAUUCUAGAAAUAUAAUUUGAUGUUAGUAAAUUAAUACUCACUUGUGCCUGACUCUGGAUUAAUCUAUUAUGGGAAUAGGUAGAUACUAUGAUAAUUCAAUUCCCAUACAGCAUUUUUUCUUAUCUUUUUAUUAUAGUAUAUUUUAAAUAUAUAUUAACAUAAAAGUAGAGGGAAUAGUAUAAAGAGCUCCCAUGUACCCAAUAUUGAACUUCAAGAAUUAUCAACUCAUAGGCAGUCUUGUUUCAUCUAUAUUUCUAUCUAGCACCCCUCAUCCCCAAUCCUUGGAUUGUUGUUGUUAUUAUUAUUUGAGACAGAGUCUCGCUGUGUCACCCACACUGGAGUGUAGUGGCGCGAACUUGGCUGACUGCAACCUCCAACUCCUGGGUUCAAGCGACUCUCGUGCCUCAGCCUCCCAAGUAGCUGGGAUUACAGGCAUGUGCUGCCCCGCCCGGCUAAUUUUUGUAUUUUUAGUAGAGAUGCGGUUUUGUCAUGUUGGCCAGGUUGGUCUCGAACUCCUUGCCUCAGGUGAUCCACCUGCCUCGGCCACCCAAAGUGUUUGGAUUACAGGUGUGAGCGACCACACCCGGCCUCUGGAUUGUUUUAAAUCAAAUCCUUGACAUACGUAAUGUUUACCUUUCAGAUAUUUCAAUAUUGAUUUUUAAAAGAUAAGAGUGUCUAUCUCUUUUUAUAGCAUAACCAUAAUAACAUUAUCAUACCAAAAAAUGUAUAGCAAGUUCUUAAUAUCAAAUAUGAAUCAGGCUUCAUAUUUCUCUGGUUUAUAGAUAGAUAUAGAUCUAUAGUUUAUUUGCUUGAAGUGACAUCCAAAUAAGGUUCAUACUUUACAGUAGUUUGGCAUGUUUAUUACAUCAUUUUAAAUCUUUAGACUCUCUUCAUCUCUUUUUUUUCUUAUUUUUUAAAAGAAAGCAGGUUGUUUGCCCUGAUAAGUUUCCCUUAGUCUCAUUGCAUCUCUGUAAUGUCAGUUAACAUGUUCUUCCUGUCUCCUGAAUUUCCUGUAAAUUGAUAGGUUGGUUUGUAUUUUUUUUUCCCUCUCAGUAAGAGUACUUCAUAGGAGUGAUUUUUGUUUCCAUCGGGAGAUAUGUAAGGUCUUAUGUCUCUUUGUGAUGUUAGCAGCUGUUGAUGAUAAUUGCUUAGACUUCUUAAUUCAUCAGUGAUUGCAAAAUUGUGAAAUUCUAUUAUUCCUUCUUCAUUCAUGUGUUAGAUGGCAUUUUCUUUUUUAAGUAUUUCUUCAACCCUGUAAGUUGUAUGUUUAGGACACUGUAUGCCAGCACUGGUACUGGGAUGAUUGGCAAGGUUCUGUGGUGGAAUUCCUUUAAAGGAAGAGUGCAAGUCUUCAUUAUUGAUAAUUUGGGAAUGUUGAAUAAAUACACUUUAUUUAAAGGAUGUUGGUAAAUAAAUAGGUUAAAAUCUCAUCAUGAAAUAAAUAGCUUGUGACUUAGAGUAUGGAGCUGGUCACUGAUGUUUGUUCUUUUUAAGAGGACAAUGUUGAUAUUCAGAAAUUUCAAAAGUAAUUUGUGCAGGGCAGUAGUUACUAGUUUCUUGAGCCAGAUUUCUCAGCAUGAACUUGAGAACAGACCUUUUGUGUGAAUCAGAUUAAUAAAAUAUUGAGUUUACAUAAGACAGCAUAUUUUUAUUAAAAGCUGUCAAAGAACUGGAGCAGCAGCAUUUCCCAAUGUGGCUCCUUGACAAAAGGGCUCUGGAGUCGAAUAAACUUGGGAAACAAUGUGUACUUUAUUCUCUCUUGGAAUGUCAAGUACAUAUUAACAUGUAAAAGACUUACAGUAAAGAAGCCUGUUUAACAUUAAAUUAGUAUUUUCCAAAUUUAUUUGAUCUCUGAACCUUUUUUCCUCCUUAUAACAUCUUGAGGAACUAGUGAUCUGAGGAACAAGUUUUGGGAAAUGUUAGGUAUAUGGUUUGGCUGUGUCCCCACCCAAAUCUUAUCUUGAAUUUUAGUUCCCAUAAUCCCUACGUGUGGGGGGAGGGACCCGGUGGGAGGUAAAUGAAUCGUGGGGAUGGUUACCCUCAUGCUGUUUUCCUGAUAGUGAGUUCUCAUGAGAUCUGAUGGUUUUAAAAGGGGCUUUCCCCCCUUUUGCUAGGCACUUCUCCUUCUUGCCCCCAUGUGAAGAAGGAUGUGUUUGCUAACCCCUUCUGCCAUGAUUGUAAGUUUUCUGAGGCCUUUCCAGCCCUGUGGAACUGUGAGGCAAUUAAACCUCUUUCCUUUAUAAAUUACCCAGUCUUGGGUAUUUCUUCACAGCAGCAUGAGACCGGACUAACAUGUUAGGUUAGAGGAUUUGAACAGAGUAAAAAAAAUAUAUCCAACCAUGAAGAGUGUGUUUGACUUCACUACAGUGAUAUGGAGAAACUUUUGAUAGGUAAAUAAGACAUUUUUCAGUGAGAAAAAGCCAGAGGCAAAUGUUGAAAAGGACUUCAUCAGUCACUAUGUAACAUUUACUACAUCCAGGCACGGUUUUCAUUACUUUACACAACCUUCUGCAGUAGGCAUACUCUUGUUAUACCUAUUUUAUAGAUGAGGAAACUGAGGCACAGAAAGAUUAAGUAAAUUGUUCAAGGUUACAUUGCAGAGUUAGUGACAUAGCAAAGCCAGGAUCUAAACCUAGGUAGCCUGGCUUCAGGUUUCAUGUGCAUAGUAUAGUCACUACUCUAUAUUGCAAGAUAUGGAAGGUGGAGAGCGUGAAAUAUAAAUUAGAUUAAGAGGGGAUUUAAAGUCUUUUUGGAGGGAACGGACAUAUUUAACUUUUAGACAAUCAGAGCCAUAAGAGACGAAUGUGGAGAGUUGGCUACGUCCUAGUGAAGAUAGAAAGCAUGAAGACCUGGGAACCAUUAUCCAUAAAACAAGGUAUACUUCUAGGGGAGGUAGAUUAGAUGCAGGUAGAAGGCUGAGUUAAGAGGACACUGUUAAUACAGAAUUUCAGAUUUAGAAAUGCUUUGGAACUCAUUUAGGACCCCACUCAUUUUAUACAUGAGAUCUGAGGUUAUACAGUUUUAUUCAUGAACUUGUAAUAAUCAUAGCUCACAUUAGUACAUUGCAUUAAAAUACUUUCAUAUGAAUUCUUAUUUGAUCCUCUUAACAAUUUUGAGACGUAGACAGGUAGGUUUCAUAUUUUCCACAGCAGAGCUGAUUCUUGGAUUUAAAUUUUCUGCAUCUUGAAAGCUAAUGUUGGCCGUGUGUGGUGGCUCACGCCUGUAAUCCCAGCACUUUGGGAGGCCGAGGCGGGCAGAUAACUUGAGGCCAGGAGUUCAAGACCAGCCUGGCCAACAUGGCAAAACCCUGUCUCUACUAAAAAUACAAAAACUAGUACAAAAAGUAGCUGGAUGUGAUGGUGCACGCCUGUAAUCCCAGCUACUCGGGUGGCUAAGGUAUGAGAAUUGCUAGAAACUGGGAGGUGGAAGUUGUGGUGAGCUAUUGUGUCACUGCACUCCAGCAUGGGCAGCAGAGCCAGACUGUAUCUCAAAAAAACAAAAACCUCCAACCCCCUCCCCCACCCACAAAGCUAAUGUUGUCUAUACUAAAUCACAUUGCCUUAGUUCUUGGCAAAUAACAUGUAUUAAAGAAGAGUAGUGUGUGCUCUUGAGAUGAGGAUUUGGGUCACAAAGAAAAGUUGCAUUUUAACAAAUGGAAAUAACUCCCUUCUAAGUGUGAAAAGUAAUAUAUUUGUUGUAAAAAAUGAUUUUUAGAUAGUGGGAAAGGUGAAAACCAUCUGUAAUCCCACCACACAGAAUAAUCAUUGUUAAAUUAUGAUGUAUAGUUGUCCAGAUUUUUAAUAGGUCUAUUUAUAUACAGAAAUACUCUUUUCCAAAUUCUGUACAUAUAGUUUUAUAACUUAAAAUACUGUACUCUUUUUUUGUUGUUGUUUGUUUUUUGUUUUUUGAGAUGGAGUUUUGCGCUUGUCACCCAGGCUGGAGUGCAAUGGUGCGAUCUCAGCUCACUGCAACCUCUGCCUCCUGGGUUCAAGCCAUUCUCCUGCCUCAGCCUCCCAAGUAGCUGGGAUUACUGGCACCCGCCACCAUGCCCUGCUAAUUUUUGCAUUUUUUGUAGAGACGGGGUUUCACCAGGCUGGUCUCAAACUCCUGACCUCAGGUGAUCCACCUGCCUCGGCCUCCCAAAGUGCUGGGAUUACAGGCGCGAGCCACCAUACCUGGACAAAAUGCUGUAUUCUUGAAAGAGGACAUUGAUAGGCAUUUGAUCUCCUGCCUCUGCCACAGUAAAAUGGUACAUACAGAAACACAGGCAUACAAUGGUAAUGUCCUGGGCAAACUGGGAUGGAUAGUUUCCUCUCCUCUUCUUCCCACACUAAUAGCUGACCUGUUAGUAAAGGCUAGGUGAGUAGGUAAAAAAUUAUUUGGGGUUAGGUUAAUUUAAGGAGACAAUGAGUAGUGUAAAUCUUCAUUUUAUUGUUUUUUCUUUAGACUUUGGGGUUAUUGAUUAUUUUUUGGGUUGAUAUUAAAAAAAAACCCUUUCGCACUAUCCUAGAUUAAAAGAUAAGUAACUCAGAUUUUGUAAACAUUAAGAAGAAUAAAGUGUGGCUCUUUUGGAGUAAUCUAUGUAUGGGCUCUUUUAGUGUGUGUACUUACGAGUUUGUGUGUGUGUGUGUGUGUGUGUGUGUGUGUGUGUGUGUCCAUCUCUGAUUAUCAGUACUGUUGUAGUGGUGGGAGGGAAAAGAACCUGUUGUGUUGUAAAAUGGAUUUUUGUACUUGAAGUCAAUUCUUGAGAAACCACCUGUAGAUUCUUUAGCAAAUCUUCCUGAUUUAUUGACAAUAUCUAAUAAUUUGCUUUGUUAAUCAUUCUCUCUGCCCAAGCAGAUUUUUAUGAAGGUCUUAUUUUGAAAAUCUUCUUUUUGAGGAUUGGCAAUAUGUUUCAUUUAUGUAUCUCAAUAUCGUUGAUUGUAAGUUGAUGGUAAGGUGUGUGUUUUUAGCUAUUCUAGUUCCUUACUCUUUCCACUUAAAAUUUUAAAAUAAGGUUGCUUAUAACUCCAAAAAAAUCUUUCUGGUAUUUUGUUAAGUAUUACAUUCAAUUUAUAGAUCAAUUUGGGGGACAGUUGACAUUUUAUAAUAUUUAGUCUUCGAAUCUAGGAAUGUGGCAUGUCUUUCCAUCUAUUUUGAUUAUCUUUGAUUUCUUUCCUUAAUAAUUUUUUCGUUUAUUAUUUUUAUUUUUUCUUUAUAAUUUUUAGCAUGUAGAUCCUGUUCGUUUUGUUAAAUUUGUACCUAUGUCUUUUAUUUAAAAAUGUUUAAAAACCUUUUUUAAUCAAAGUAUAAUAUACAUUCAUAGAAGUGAAGCUUACUAGUGUGCAGCUUCAUGAGUUCCACAGGGAUGGAUUUAUUUUCAUAUUCUGCUUAUUUUUUGUCAACCUGAGAGAUUCUCAGGAGGGAGUUAGAUACAGUUCAAGAUGAGGAAACAGGAGAAACUUCCCAUUUCCUUUUGAAUCAGAUCUUUAUAGUGUGACUUCAGUGUGUUGUGUGAAAGUGAAUUCUCAAGGCAAUAGAUGUAUUCAAAGAAAAGUAAGCCCAUACACAUUUCCAAAUCAGUUUGGCCUUUUAGAUUUUCCCUGCUAAAACUUACCUCCAGUCAUGUUACAAUACAGAUUUGCCUAGAUAUUUUCUAACAUAGGAAUUCCUACUGUUUUGAAACAAUGGAAAUGUGGGUUGAAGAUUUAAGAGAUGGAAGGUUGUGUCUUCCUAUGAUUUUUGGUGAACCAGGCUAUUCGCUGCCCUUUAGCUUCCUUCUGUGUAAUUUGUAAAAACACAACCCUAAGUAAACUUGUCAUCUUGCUGUCUGGCUUUUCUCUUACUUGUAGGAAGGGUAGGCAACUUAGUGUCUAUGUUUAUGGGAACAGUGUUUUUCUGCCAGCUCAUUUUUGAGCGAGAGUUACAAAUCUGGCUCUAAAUUUAUAGAGAUGGAUUCACUGUAAUUACUUAAAAAUGAUUAUGUUGUAAGGAAAUUAAAAGUAAGAUUUGUUUAAUACAGAUACUCCUGGGAAUGAAUGAGUUUAUUACAUAUGCUCCAUCAGGAAGAACAUGGUUAACAAUAGAAAAACCAUGUUUAUCAUUUAAUUCCUAUGUAUACUUUCAUUGUCAAAGAUAACCUUUGUUUUUUCCUUUCUGUUUUUUUUUUUUUUUUUUUGGAGACGGAGUCUCACUGAGUCGCCCAGGCUGGAGUACAGUGGCGCGAUCUCGGCUCACUGCAAGCUCCACCUUCUGGGUUCACGCCAUUCUCCUGCCUCAGCCUCCUGAGUAGCUGGGACUACAGGCACCUGCCACCACACCCGGCUAAUUUUGUAUAAUUUUAGGAGAGACGGGGUUUCACCAUGUUAGCCAGGAUGGUCUCGAUCUCCCGACCUCGUGAUCUGCCCGUCUCGGCCGCCGAAAGUGCUGGGAUUACAGGCGUGAGCCACCGCGCCCGGCCCCUUUCAUCUUUUAUGUUACCGGGGCUCAGCUGUGCCUGAUUCAGCUGUUUCUAUACUCCUCCCCAAAUUCUGAUUUUGAAAAUUUCUCAGAUUUAUAGAAAAAAUGAAGAAUAGCGCUUUUCACCUAGAUUCACAAAUUGCAACAUUUUGGUGCAACUGCUUUUUUCCUCCCCUCUAAACAUGCAUACAUUUUGCUUUAAGUGAGACUAAUUUGUAGUCAUCAUGAUCCUCCCUGUCCUCUCCCAGUACAUUGGCAUGUAUCUUCUAAGAAGAAGGACAUUCUCCAACUUAACCACAAUACUUUUAUCACACCGAUGGAAAAUAACAUUAAUUCAUUGUCACCUAAUAUGCAACAUUUGUGUUUAAAUCUUUCUUGUUUCCCACAUAUCUUUUAUAGUUGCUUUUUGUUUUUUUCGGGUCCAGGAUCCAAUCACAUUCAUAUAUUGCUUUUGGUGUUUAUGUUUCUUUAAAUCUAGAGUAAACCCCAGCCUUUUUUUUUCCCAAAUGACAUUAACUUUAUUGAAUAAUCUAGGCCAGUUGUCUUAUACAAUGUCCUACAAUGUGAAUUUGCCUCUUGGUUCUUUAAUAUCACAUAUUCAAGUUAAACAUUUGCUGCAUUAACACUAUGUAGGUGAUGUUAUGUACUCCUUAAAUCACCUCAGGAGGCACUCAGUGCCAUUUUCCUUCUUUAUAGGUAAUGCUAAAUUUGAUUGCUUAAGGUGGUGACUAUCACCAGAUUAUUUCUUUGCAAAUGUACACUUUUUUCCCCUUUGUAAUUAAUAAACAAUUAGGUGGUGGUAUUUUGAGAUCACGUGAAAGUUGUCUCUCCUACAACGCUUUCCCAUUGGUUUUAGCAUCCAUAGAAAACUAUCUUUGCCCUUUUUUUAAAUUAAAAAAAAGAAGCAAUAUAUGCAAAUGUUAAGAAACUUACAUAGUAUAAAAAAGGUUAUAGCAAAAGAUAUAUCUCCCUUUCAUUCAUUCAUACUGUAUCUUCAUUUUCCUAGUUUUUCCCAGAGUUAACUGUCAUUGGUUUCUUAUGUGUCUUCCAGAGAUUUUCAACCACUCUAGUAAUGCAUUCAUAUAUAUAGCCCCUCUUUUUUUUUAUUUUUACACAAAUGGCUUAUUUCAUGAAACAUAAUAGUUUAAAGAUCUCCUCAUAGUAUAUAUCAAAAUUUCAUUUCUUUUUAUGGCUGAGUACUAUUUCAGUGUAUGUGUAUACACCACAUUUUGUUUAUCCAUUCAUCUGUUGAUGGACAAUUGGUCUAUUUCUGCCUUUUGAUUAUUAUGAAUAAUGCUCCUAUUAACAUUGGUGUACAAAUAUCUGUUUGAGUCUCUGCUUUUAAUUCUUUUGUAUGUAUACUUUGAUGUGGGUGCUUGGUCUGCAUCUUAAUGUAUUUUUAACUUAGUAUAUCAUAGUAAUCAUUUUCAACUUAAUACAUUCCAAAUAAUUGUAGAUCUUCCUCAUUCAUUUUAAUGACUGCCUUGAAUUCUAGUAUAUGUGUAUAAUUUAUUUAACCAGUUUAUUAUUUGUGGACUUUAGAUUGUUUCCUGGCUGGGUGCAGUGGCUCACACCUGUAAUCACAGCACUUUGGGAGGCUGAGGCAGGAUUGCUUAAACCCAGGGGUUCGAGACUAGUCUGGGCAACAUAGUGAGACCUUAUCUCUAUUUUAAAAAAGCAGAAAACAAAAAACGUCAUUUCCCCUUUUCAUUGCUUUUAUUACUUUUUUUUUUUUUUUUGCUAUUCUAAACAAGGCUGCAAUGAAUAGGAUAUUUCUUAGUUUAAACAGUACUUUGUUUCUUGAUUAAAACUACACUAAGAAAAUGUUGACUGAGCCUAGUCCUGCUGAGUAUACCUUCUAAAUGUCCUUAAAAUUCAACUCCGUACAAGUUCAAUAUAUUGUUCCUCUUUUAUUUUAGGCCCAUAUUUCUCAACUCAACUUUUGCAGUGGCCCAGGAUUGGUCUGUUGUGUCCUGGCCAUUCUUUCUCUUCAUUAUCUUAGUGUUAUCCACAGCUCCUGAUGUGUAGCCUUGUUAUGGGAACAUUAUCAUAUUGUACUGUAAUUGCUUAUGUAUCUUUAUAUGCUUUGAGGUUCUGAGUCUUUUAGGAGCACUGCUUUGUAUGCAGUGGAAUUUACUAUGGAUAAAUCUUGCACAUUCUUGUUAGGUUGUUUGUAGUGGUAAGUCAGAAUACCUUUAUUAAAAUUAACACAUAAUUACAGAUUUAGAAAAAUGUACAAAUAGGACUGACCCUUGGUUCAUUAGAAUAUACUAGGGGUUCAUGCCUUUAUUUUUGUUUAUUUUUUGAUGAAGAGGUUAAAGGUAACUUUGAAGCCAGUCAGUGGUUGAUACUAUUGUGUCUUCCCCCUCCAUCCCUAUUUCUUUUGAUACCAUUAACUCUUUCAGAUAAUCUUUUGAAUUUUAUUUUUUUCUCCUUAAAAUCAUACUCAUAUGUAAGUAUUCUGUGACUAUUUGAGGAGCUAGCCAGAGUACUUACUUCUGAUAUUUUUGCUAUUUCUUCAUUUUUUAUUUUAGGGAGGCCAUAAGAAUGAGUUCUUGAAGUAUCAAUUGGAUAUAACAUUGGGAGUUCUGUGAGGAUAAAUUUACUAAAAAUGUUGAUUGUCAUGAUGUAGGCUUUCCUUUAUAGUUGCUAACAGAUUGAUGGUUCUAAAGACAUGGGAGGUGAUUUUUUUCUACAGACAAUAUGAUAAGGACCCUCAGGAUCUUCAUUCCUCUAGAAAGUAUACUUCUGUUGACAUCUAGUGUCUGCUUUGUGGCCACUGGUCAGCUGCAAAUUAAGGUAUUUGUGUGUGCUGACAUUUCUGUUUGCAUUUCUGGAUUAAUUGUAUCUAUUACCGUAACAGACUGUUGAACUUGACAAGUGGAUAACUUACUUUACUCUUUUUUUUCCCCAAAGAUCCUUUCGUUAAAAAGUAUAUUGAUGAGCAGUGUACAGUGGCUCACGCCUGUAAUUCCAGCACUUUGGGAGGCUGAGACAGGAGGAUUGCUUGAGGCCAGGAGUUUGAGACCAGCCUUGGCAACAUAGUGAGACCUUGUCUCUGGAAAAAAGAAAAAAAUUAGCUGAGUGGUAGCAUGUGCUUGUAGUCCUAGCUACUCAGGAUGCUGAGGCAGGAGGAUCACUUGGACCCAGGAGUUCAAGGCUCCAGUGAGCUGUGAUUGUGCCACUGCAGUCUAAUCUAGGCAACAGAGCAAGACCCUGUUUCUUUGAGGAAAGAAAAAGUACGUUGAUGUUCUAAAAAAGAAACCACCCAAGUUUGAUAGCAGCCGUUAUUCAGAAUCAUUACAUUGAAAACAAAAUCAUUAAAAACAUAAUAAAUUUGCUUAUAGCUGCUUGUCACAAACUUUUUGUACUAGGACAUUGUAGUGAUGUAUUUUUUUUUUUUUGUCAACUAGAAUUACUAUAAUGUUAUGCUAAACUUCCAUAAAGGAAUACAAAAGAAGAAACUUAAAAUAGCUGAUGUUACUUACCUUUAGGGGAUAUAUGAUGAACAAUUAGAGACCAUAUAGGGUAACAACUAAUAUUUAUUUUCAAAGUAGUUCCUUGUGACAGAUACAGAAAUUCCAAGAUAAGAAAGAUAAUUGAGGGUUAAGGUUGUUCAAGCAGGUUUAAUUUGGGCAGGGGGCGGGGGAGGUAGGAUUUGAAUUAGUAACUGUAGGAAGUAUAAGUGGAAAGGAAGGGGCGGGCAUUACAGAGGACAACAGCAUGAGUGGGGGCACAAAGGUAGGAUUGAACAUAUCUCAACUGAGUGAUGUAGGAAUUGGUAGGAAUUCCUACCUGACUAGAGCAGAGACAGUUGGGGAGUGUGGUGUGGUAAAAUUUAUUAGGUUGGUGGGGACAGUUGAUUGUGAACCUUAAGCAGACUAAGUGAUUUUAAGCCUGGGGAGCUAUCUACAUCAGUGAGGGUCCUGACAGGAAAUAAAUGGACUAGUUGUAGAGUUUUGGGAAGGGUUAAGGAGAGCAGCAGAGUAUUGUCAUGUUCCCAAGGCCUAACACUAUUGGGAAGCCAUUAGUACACUUUUAAGUCUGAGGGGAAAAGAAGAGGAACACUGGAAACUGAUGAGAGCUGGAGCAAUGGAAGCCAAGCUAGUGGUCAGGACCUGUAGCCCUAGAGGAAAUGGCUUUGUGAGGUGGGAAGGGAGCUAGAGAAAUGAAAACCCCAAUUUCUUUUACUUCUCAUCCUCCCAUUUCCUCCUAUGUGUGCCUCUCAAUGGCCCAAUGCAACUGGAAGUAAGAAGAGAACUUGGGCAGUGUAAUGCCAGAGGACAGCCUCACAGGGUGCAAAGCAGAGCUUGAAGGGUAGAGAAUAGGCUUGAUUUGAGGAGGUUGGGGGCAAAUAGAGAAUGCCUAGUCCAGGACCCAUUUUAAAUUAUUGCAAAUUUAUAAAGUAGGGUAGUGUUAUAAUGAAAAUGCUCUUGGAGGAAGAUUUGGUUUAGUGGAUUUUGAGCCUUAAAAAAAUCACUCAGGCCGGGUGUGGUGGCUCAUGCCUGUAAUCCCAGCACUUUGGGAGGCCGAGGUGGGUGGAUCACCAGGUCAGGAAUUCAAGACCAGUCUGGCCAACAUGGUGAAACCCUGUCUCUACUAAAAAUAUAAAACUUAGCCGGGCGCGGUGGCGCAUGCCUGUAAUCCCAGCUGUUUGGGAGGCUGAGGCAGGAGAAUUGAAGAGUGAGCUGAGAUCACACCACUGCACUCCAGCCUGGAUGACAGAGCAAGACUGUCUCGGAGUGGGUGGGGGCAAUCUCUCUCUGGGCAGAGUUCCAACUUACAACAACAAAGGCAGAAUGCAAUCUAUUAUCUGAUUUAUCCUUAUAGCCCCCACUGUAACUAAUUUUGUUAUUUCUCCGUAGACUUGUUAGACCAGAAUUAAUUCCUCUUCUACAAUGUUCUGAGCCCUUGCAGUGAGAAAGCUAGGGUGCCAGUGGCUGAAAGGGACAAAAGAGUAGGGCAGAGUACCAGCCUUGCAAAGCAUGAGUCUGGUUGUGGGGUGGAUGGAGCAGUAGUGAUGAAGACAGGUACGCAAAUAAUAACAAACCAGGCAGAGUAUGAUAAAUGUACAUGUGUGUAAGCAAAAGUAAGAGAGUUAGAGGAGGAAGUGAGUAAAUCUGUGUUGGUGAGCGUAGGGUGAUUACAACAUGAAAAGCUUCAUGGAAGAAGUCACCUUUGAGAUAGGCCUUUGAAGGAAAAGUGUGGAUUUUGACAGGUAAAGAUUAUGUAGGUGAGGUGGGAAGAUUGCUUCAGCCUAGGAGCUUGAGGGUGCACUGAGCUAUGACUGCACCUGUGAAUAGCCACUGCACUCUAGCCUGGGCAACAGAGCAAGACCCUAUCUCAAAGAGAAAAAAAAAAAACCACUUGUGUUCUGCAGAAAUGCUCAUCAGAGGUGAUUUGGGAGGUAUCUGUAGUGAUGAUGAGUUAAGCUUUAGCAAUGAACAGGAAGUGGUUGAUGUUAAGAAAAAAUAUAUACUGAGAAGAAAAAGGAGGUUCUAGAACUUUUGGGAAUACCAGCAUUGGGUGGACAAGAGGCAGGGCCUGCAAGUAAUUGGGUUUUGUUUGUUUUUUUUUUUUUGUUUUGAGAUAGGGUCUUGCUCUGUUUCCCAGGCUGUAGUGCAGUGGCAUGAUCAUGGCUUGCUGCAGCUUUGACCUCCCAGGCUCAGGCAAUCCUCCUGCCUCAGCUUCCCAAGUAGCUAGGACCACAGAAGCGUACCACUAUACAUGGCUAACUUAUUUUUUGUAGAAAUGGGGUCUCCCUGUAUUGCCCAGGGUGGUCUUGAACUGCUGACCUCAAGCAGUCCUCCUGCCUCAGCCUCCAAAAGUGCUGGGAUUGUAGGCCUCAGCCAUAGUGUCUGACCUUUUGUUUGUUUUUGGUCAGCUUUGAUGAGGUAUAAUUAACAUACCAUAAAUUCACCAUUUUAAGACAACAGUUUGAUAAAUGUUAAUACAGUUAUGUAACUACCACCACAAUCAUCAUAUAGUCUCUUUUCAUCAUACCCAGAAAGUUCCCUUUUAUGUCUUGGCUGUAAUCUUCUCCACCUGUUCCUUAGCCAUUAGCAACAACUGAUGUGCUUUUUAUCACCGUGGUUUUUACUCUAGAAUUUCAUGCAGCUAGAACCAUAGUUAUGUAGUCUUUGUGUCUGGCUUAUUUCGCUUAGCAUAAUGCUUUUGAGAUUCAUCCAUGUUGAAUCUCCAAAUAAUGAAUAAUAAUGCUUAUUAUUCAUUUUGCUUGUAAUGAAUAACCAUUGUGUUGUUUGAAUCAGUCGUUCAUUCCUUUUUAUUACUGAGUAGUAUGCCAUUGUAUGCAUAUAUUAUGAUGUACCUAUUCAUUCAUCAGAUGAUGGACAGUCGAGUUUCCAGUUUUUGGCUAUUAUGAAUAAAGACGCUAUAAAUACUGAUGACCAGGUCUUUAUGUAAUCAUGUAUUCUCAUUUUUCUGGGCAAAUACCUAAGGAGUAGAAUUGUUGCAUAUGUGCUAAGUACAGCGUGUGUUUAUGAUAAACUGCCAAGCAGUUUCCCAUGUCACAUUUCUACCAGCAGUGUAUGAGAGUUCUACACACUGGUGGUGACAUCCUCACCAAUACCUAGUAUUAUCUGUGUCUUUAAAUUGAGCCAUUUAUUGAAUUUGUAAUAGUAUCUUGUUGUGGUUUCAAUUUCCAUUUCCCUACUGACUAAUGGUGUUGAACAUCCUUUCAUGCGCUUUUUUGGCUGUUUAUGUAUCUUUGGUGAAGUGUCCAGAUAUUUUGCUCAUUUUAAAAAUUGAGUUUUCUUAUUGAGUUGUAAGGGUUCUUUUUAUAUAUUCUUGAUACACGUCUCAUUGGAUAUGUUUUACAAAAUAGUUUCUUUCAUCUUGGGGCUUGCCUUUUCAUUUUCUUAUUUAUGUAUGUGUUCAUCAUAUCUAAGUCUUUUCAUUUUCUUAACAGUGUUGUUUUUUUUUUUGAGACAGUUUUGCUCUUGUUGCCCAGGCUGGAGUGCAAUGGUACGAUCUCGGCUCACUGCAACUUCCACCUCCUGGGUUCAAGUGAUUCUCCUGCCUCAGCCUCCCAAGUAGCUGGAAUGACAGGCGCCCGCCACCAUGCCCGGCUAAUUUUUUGUAUUUUUAGUAGAGACGGGUUUCACCAUGUUGGCCAGGCUGGUUUUGAACUCCUGACCUCAGGUGAUCCACCAGCCUCAGCCUCCCAAAGUGCUGGGAUUACAGGCGUGAGCCACUGUGCCCGGCUAGCAAUACUUUUUGAAGGACAAAAGUUUUUAAUUUAGAUCAGGUCUAGCUUAUCAAUUUAUUGUGUGCUAUUUAAGAAAUCUUACCCAGGAUUGCUAAGAUUUUCUCCUAUGUUUUCUUCUAGAGACUUUUUAGUUUUAGCUCUUACGUUUCGGUCUGUGAAUCAUUUUGAGUUGAUUUUUGUAUAUGGUAUGAAAUUAGGGUCAAGGUUUAUUUUUCCUGUUUGCAUAUUCAGUUGGUCCAGCACCUUUUGUUGAAAAGAUUAUCCUUUUCCUAUUAAACUGCCUUGACACUUUAGAUAAGCAUCAGUUGGCCAUAUAUAUGUGGGUCUAUUUCUGUACCCUCAGUUCUGUUCUGUUGAUCUAUCUUGAUGAAAGUACCACUAUCUUGUUGCCACUACCACGUCUUGAUUACUAGUUACUAGUUUUAUAUUAAUAAUAAGCUUAAAAGUCAGAUAAUGUACAUCUUUAAUGUUUUCUCUAUCAGUUAGAAUUGUUUUGCUAUUCUCAGUCCAUUGCCUUCCUGCCUUGCAAGUUUCUGAGACUGUGAAAAGUGUUUUGCUUCUUUUGUUACCCAAUUGAGAUCAUUUAAUAAUCUUGAAAGAGUGGUUAGGAGGAAUGUAUUUUAUCAUAGCAACAAGACUUUUAAGAAGGAACUGAAUUGGCAAUUGGUUCAUUAAAACCUUCUGAGGUUUUAAUUUCUAAAAAGUUAGUAUGGGGCUGGGCGUGUUGGCUCACGCCUAUAAUCCUAGCACUUUAGGAGGCAGAGGUGGGAGGAUAGCUUGAGCCCAGCAGUUCAAGGCUUCAGUGAAUUAUGAUUGUGUCGCUGCCACUCCAGCCUGGGCAUCAGAACCAGACCCUGUGUCAAAAAAAAAAGAGAGAAAAAAAGAGCAUGAUAUACACCACGAUGUUGAUAAGAAGCAGCAUGAUUUAGUGGUUAAGGGGUCACCUGGCAGACUAGUCUGGUUUGAAUCCUUACUCUAUCAAUUACUGGCAGUUGUGACCUUGGGCUAUUUAGCCUCUCUGUACCUCCACUUCCCUUCCUGGAAAAUGGGGAUAAUACAAGUACUUUUUUCUUUUUAUUAGUUUUUUAAAUUUAAAUUUUAUUUUAUUUUUUGAGACAGGGUUGCUCACUUUGUUGCCCAGGGGCACAAUUAUGGCUCACUGCAGCCUCGUAGGCUUAAGCGAUCCUCCCAUCUCAGCCUCCCAAGUUGCUGAGACUAUAGGGGUGCACCACUAUGCCUGCCAAAUUAUUUUUUGUAGAGAUGGGGUCUCAUUAUGUCACCCAGGCUAGUCUCAAACUCCUGGGCUCAAGUGAGCCUCCCACCUUGGCCUCCCGAAGUGUUGGGAUUAUAGGCAUGAGCCACCACACGCAGCCCCUAUUUUAUAGAGUUGCUCUGAAGAGUAAAUAAUACAUGUAUUUUCUGCCACAUAGAAAGUGCUUCAGUGAAUUGUAACUGCUAUUAUUGCUUUGUUCACCUAGAGAAUGCUAAAAGCUUCAGAAUUUGAUAAACUCACUUAUAGGAACUUAAACUUACUUGCAGUAACUCGUUUAUUUCAGUUUUAGAAAGAUAGUUGUAGUGCUGAUUGGUUUUUUUCCAGUUCCUUGGUAGUUUUCUAACCUUUCUUUUCAUUGGUGAAUCUUUGGUAAUUUAUGUAUGUAUGUCAGUUUGGAUUUGUGCAUUGUACCAGGAGUGGAAAAAAAACAAUUGGCUUUUAGUGUUAUAAAUUUUUACCUUAAAUUAAUAAACAAAACAAAACUGCAGUUUUUCCUUUGCCAAUAUUUAGCUGGUUGAUCAGGAUUGUGAACUGGUGGUUCUAGAAUGCAAGUGAAAACCCAUUAGUUUGAUUUGAUUUUGUCUGUAGUUCUUUACUCACCGAAUAGGCACGUCUGUUUCCAGGUUUAUUUGACUAGUUCUCAUUAUUGAUGUAGCAAAAACAAUUUGCCAGCAAACUCAGCAAAUCUUUUCCUUUUCUAAGUGUACUUUCUUAAAUAGCAAUAAUAACAACGAAAAAGUUUUUUCUUUUUUAGCAGGAGUUCAAUUUUGCACAGCUAACCAUUGAUAAUUUGUGUGGUUUAAUGAAUAAGAGUACCAACAUCAAUCAUUCAGCUGAAUGAAGCCUUCUAGAAGUACAUGUGGCAGGAGUGGGGAGACCUGGACCACAGUGUACAUUUAAGUUUCAGUUAUAGAACUUUGCAAAUGGGCUCUUCCUCCUGCACUUUCAGAAAUGCCCUUGAGAAGUCUUUAUUGACACUUUCUCUUAUGAUUCUCUAAGUACUGUGUAUUGGGGGAGACAUGGGUUGGUAGACGUCGAGAGUUCAGUUUUAAACAUGAUGUGUUAGAGAUUCCUUUGGUACAUCUGAGUGGGUAUAUCAUGCUGGCAGUGGAUGUCCAGGUCUGGAGCUCAGGAGAAGUUUUGACUGGAUUCAUUAGCAUAUGAGAUAGGUAAAAGCCUUGGGAGUUGCUGGGAUCCAAAAAUGUAUGUACAUGAAGAGGAGGAGACUGAAGUGGACUGCAGAUAGAAUCCCUAGGAUAUAUCCACUGUGGUACCACCACACUUGCACUUGCUCACAUUAGGUCAGUUCAGAGUAAGAUAAUAUGUGAGAUUAAAUUAUAUUCAAUAUGCAUAAUGGACUACCUGGAUUCAGAUUGCUUAGCUUAAUUCAGGAAAUAUUUAUUGAGCUCCCUCUAUGUGCUUUACCUAUGCUAAUAAACACUAGGGAUAUAAGCAAAAUCGAUACUGCCUCUGCUCUGAUAGUCUUUAUAGACUAAUGUGAAAGAUUGUCUUUGCUGUUUUUACUCACAGCACUUCUGACAACAAGUGUGUGAGUUUUUUGCGUACACCAAUCAGUUCUUCAACUUUCCAGAUACCAACGGGCUGUCCCUGCAGUUCAUUUCCAUUCUGACACUAUCCAGAGUUAGCAUCAGACUACACAGGUUUAAGGGCUCAGUCCCACAAGACUACUCAUACUUCAGAUGCCAGUUGCAUGUAUUGAGUCCCACACUUCUGAAUUGCCUACAAACGGGGGAGUUCCUACAACUACCCCCUCACCUUUGAGUAAUUUGCUAGAAUGGCUCACAGAACACGGGAAAUAUCCUAUUUACAAUGACUGGUUUAUUAUAAAUGAUACAACUCAGGAAUAACCAAAUGGGAGAGAUGCAUAGGGCAAGAUACAGGGGGUAGGGGCAUGGAGUUUCUAUGCCUUUUCCUGACAUGCCACCCUCCCAGCAUCUUGAUGUGUUCACCAACCUGAAAGCUUUCUGAACCCUGUCUAGGGGUUUUUAUGGAAGCUGCAUUACGUAGGCUUGGUUGAUUAAAUCGUUGACCAUUGGUGAUUAACUCUAUCUCCACCCCUUUUCCUCUCCCUUGAGGUCUGGUGGUGGAACUGAAAGUUCCAACACUUUUAUCACUUGGUUGGUUUCUCUGGCAACCAGCCUUCAUCCUGAAGCUAUCUAAGGGCCCACUAAGAGUCACCUCAUUAGCAUAAACUCAGGUAUGGUUGAAAGGGGCUUGUUACGAAUAACAAAAGAUGCUCCUAUUCCCCUAUCACAAAGGAAAUUACGAACACCAAGUAUGUAUUUCUUAUGCCACAAAUGGACAUUAAACAAAUCGCACAAAUUAUAUAUAAUUGCAAACCAUGCAAGGUGCUAUGAAGGUAAAGUACUGGAUGCUGUGUGAACAUUUUGGGAGAGACCUAAUCUCACAUGGGUAUAGUCAGGGAUACCUUCCCAGAGGAAGUGACAUUUAAUUCAGCUAGUGAUACUGUUACUGAGUACCUAAUUAAUAUCUCUGGUACUGUACUGUUUAAACUGAUAUCUUGUGACUAAACAUUAACUGGGUGAAAGAGGAUGGAAUGGAGAAGGCAGGCUCUAAAUAAAGAGAACUGCCUGUGCAAAGUUCCUGAAAUACAAAGGAGCAUAGUGCCUUCCAGGAGUUAAGGAUCUCAGGCGUCUAUAGAAGAGAGAGCAAGGGGAGAGGUCAGUUCUUGGCCUUCUUGUCAGAGGAGAGAUUUUGUUCUUUAGAGUAAACCUAUUCUUCAGAAAAAUUUUAAACUCUUCCCCUUUGAAACAGACUUCAUUAACUUUUUAUUACAGAAAAAUAUUAACAAAUGCAUUAGUGGAGAGAAUAUUUCCCCAUACCCCAGUUUCUUUCUUCUUCUUUUUUUCUUAAGAGACUAGGUCUCACUGUCACCCAGGCUGAAGUGCAGUGGCAUGAUCACAGCUCACUGUAGCCUUGACCUCCUGUGGCUCAAGGGAUCCUCCUGCCUCAGCCUCCCCAGUAGCUAGGACUACAGGCAUAUACCACCACAUCUGGCUAACUAAAAAUAUUUUUUUCUGUAAAGAUGGAGUCUCACACUGUUGCGCAGGCUCAGGCUGGUCUCAAACUCCUAGCCUCAAGUGAUCCUCCCAAAAUGCUGGGAUUAUGGAUGGUAGCCACUGCACCUGGCCAUGUUUUAGAGUACCUUGAGUCUGAUUUAGGAAUGGCUCCUGAAACCUGCUUAGAGAAUUUCUCUGACUCCUUUCUGGGUUCUCUGCAAUUUUAGUUUUGCUUGCAGCUAUCCUUGUUAAGUGUUUGCCAUUAUUUUUUGGCAUUUUAUUGUCCUAUCAUUUUCCAUCUUCUGUCUUUUCCUCAAAUUCUAUAUUUUUCUUUGCUUUCAAAGCCUAGUCCCUUAAUAACUGAUCUCCACUACUACCCAUGGAGAUCAUAAUUUUCUUCCAGGGGUUUUGUAGAUCAUUGCCUCCUUUGGAUACUGGCAGAAAGGAUCAAUAUUUUUCUUUUUCUUUUUCUAUUUUUUUUUUUUUAGAGGCAGAGUCUUGCUCUAUCACCCAGGCUAGAGUGCAGUGGCACGAUCAUAGCUCACGGCAGCCUUGACCUCCUGGGCUCAAGUGAUCCUCCCACCUUAGCCUCCUGAGUAGCUGGGACUACAAGUGCAAGCCACCAUGCCUGGCUAAUUUUUUAAUUUUUGGAGAGACAGGGUUUUGCCAUAUUUCCCAGGCUGGUCUCAAACUCCUGGGCUCAACUGAUCCUUCUACCUCAGCUUCCCAAAAUGCUGUGAUUACAGACGUGAGCCACUGUGCCUGGCCAAUAGCUACUUUUUGUUAAAGCCUUAAGUAUCAGAACUGAACUGAGGAAAGAGAUAGGCAGAAGAGGGUGUCUCUGCUAAGCUACAGAGUUUAUAAUUUUGUUGAACAACUCCGUGUCAUUGACUGAUUUGAAGUUAACUUGUCUGAAAAUUAAAUGUGCAAGUAUGACCUAGUUCUGAAACGUAUCUUAAAAAGUAAGCCCAGAGAUGACGCUUUAAAAAAGUCAACUUCUUUUUUAAAAAAGAAAUUAUUUGUGCCCUUUUUGCUUUGAGUUUGGAAUUGGGACACCCCCAAACCUGAUGGUAAAAUAUCUUAUUUAUAAAUCCACUGAAGUAAGAAAUAGUAUGCAACCACUAAAUGCUUAGGGCGUAUAAAAAACUGACCUUAAUAUACCUAUGAGUUACCAUUUUGGUAGCCAAAAAUAUUUAAAUGUAGAAACUAGUAGUAAUUAAUUAGUUAAUUUAACAAACACUAUGAUGGUCUAGGUUGUAUGGCAGAGAAUUAAAAUAAGGUGGAAUCCAUUCCUCACAGUGAGGAGUGAGUGCAUUAUCUGUUAGGGGAGUGACAAUCCUAAAUAAUUGUAGGUCAAAGUGAGAGGUAUCCUGUUAGAGAAUUAGAAAGCACUAGUUUUCAAGUUCUGAAAAGCCCUGUAAGGUUUUUUUUUUUUUUUUGUAAAGUUUGAAGAUAUGAAGAGGAAGGACUUUAGUAAGUGAAGGAGAAGAGGAUAGAAGCAGUGGUUUGAAGGCUUGGAAUGACUUGGUGGUUUUAAGAACUUGUAAGAUUUUCUUAAGUGUCUGUUACGUAGGUGGGAGAGGGUAGAAGAAAAUUACCUGGAAAACACUUUAAUUCCUGAUUGUAAAGAGGCAGUUGUUGGUUAAAAGUAAUUAGUCUUUAACUGGUUAAGCACUGAGUAGUCAUUUGGGGUUUUCACUAAGGGAGUAACAUCAGAUUUUGGUUUGUAGAAAGAUGGAGGAUACACUAGAACUGGGGAGAACCUGCUAUCAGGGAGCUGAAUAAGGAAGCUACAGCAAGGAGAGAAUUUUCAGUUAAAUUUUAUCCUAAAGCACUGAUUCUGGGGUUGAAGGGAGAAGUAGCAGGUGGUAGUGUCACACUUCUCUAAAAUAAGUGCUUUAGUGAGGUUGGGUGGGGCUGGGGACUUGGACAUGUGUGUUUUGACAAGUUCUAACACUUGAUUCUCAUUCACAUCCACUCAACAUUUAGAGUUAAUUUUUCCAGGGAGUGAUAUUAUGGGGCAGUGAAAAUAGCACUGGACUUCAGAAUCUGGGGACUUAUAUUCACAUCCUGACUCUGCCAUUCACCUUGCAUGUAAUCUUGUUGUACUGUUUAAUUUUUUGAAAAUUGUUUUAUGUUAUUAAUAACUAUCUUACGGAUUUUUGUGAUAAUUCAGUUGAAGUUCUGAAAUCUCAUAGGUAUACAGUAAACAUUUUGUAAUCUCCUGACAGGUUUUCCCUGCCUGCUGCGCAGACAAAAUCAAUUAACAGAGACCACUACAUUGCAGUAAAGGAAGAGUUUAAUUGACAGGAGGCUGGCCAUGCCAUGCAUGAGACAGAGUUAUUAUUCAAAUUGAUGUAUUUCCCCAAAGGCUUGGAGUUUAGGGUUUUCAAGGAUAGUUUGAUGGGUGGGGGACUAGGGAAUGGGGAAUGUUGAUUGGUCAGGGAAAAAAAAAUGAUUGGAGUGUGAAAAACAGUCCUGGUGUGAUGAGUCUGCCUCUGCAUAGGGCCACAGGAUGUUAAGUCUUGAGGCAGGAGUCCAGGUGGGGUCAUUCUGAAAGAUAACACAAAAAAACCAAUCUUAGAUUCUAUUAUAAUGAUUUUCUCUAUAAGAGUAAUUGAGGAAGUGACAAAUAUUGUGACCCUUGGCCACAUGACUCCUGAACAGUAAGGAAUGAUAGAAGAAGCUAUACUUGUCUUGUGACCUCUAGCCAUAUGACUCCUGAGCAGUAAGGGAUGAUAGAAACUAUGCCUACACCUUAGCAGAAUUCAGGCCCCUCUCAUAAUCCUAACCUUGUGGCCUUUCAUUAGUUUUAUGAAGGUGGUUUAGUUUUGGGAAAGGUUAUUAUCAUCCUUGCUUUAAGGUCAAACUAUAAAUUUCUCUGAAAAUCAGCUUGGUCUUGUAAACUAAAAAUAAAAUUCUAAGCUCUCUAACCAUCUGAAUGGCCCCCUCCUCUCAGCAAGCAUUCCAAAGUUAACCUGAUAAACUAGUUCCGGCCAUGAUGGAAAGGGGGAGCCAGAUAUGCCUCAUAAUACCCUCCUCUCUUUUGGAAUUACUGAUAGAACAAGACUCUUUAAGUCUGAUAAGAAACAUUUACAAUCUGUUCUCUGAAGCCUGUUACCUGGAGGCCUCAUCUGCAUGAUAAAACCUUGGUCUCCAUAACCCUUUAUUGUAACACAGACAUUUCUUUCUUUAGAUAAUAAUUCUUUCAACCAAUUGCCAAUCUGAAAACCUUUCAAUGUAUCUAUGACCUGAAAGCUUCUGCUUCAAGUUGUCCAGCCUUUCUGGACUGAAUCAAUGGACAUUUUACAAGUAUUGAUUGAUAUCCCAUGUCUCCCUAAAAUGUAUAAAAUCAAGCUGUCCCUGACCACCUUGGGUACAUGUCAUCAGGACCUCCUGAGUCUGUAUCACAGGCAUGUCCUUAACCUUGGCAAAAUAAACUUUCUAAAUUGAUUGAGACCUAACUCAGCUAUUUUUGGUUUACAGUCUACACCCCGGAAUGAUCGAUGAUGGAGGUUAGAAGCGAAAUGGACUUAACUGUGUCAAAUUUCUCUUACUGUCAUAAUUUUGCAAAGAUGGUUUCAGUUUUGUGAGUUUAAGUUUUAAUUUAGAAUUUACAUUAGAAACUACUGAAUUUAGUCACAUUUCAGUAGUACCCUUAUCCACAUAUUAAAUGAAAUAGAAACUUAUUAAAAGUUGCAGAAGAUGUAACUGUUGGAAAAUAUGUUGGCAUAUGGACUUAAGGGAUGAUACCCUUUAGUAGUGGACUAAAUUUAGUUUAAAAAAUAUAAUUAAUUUAUUCUACUUGUAAAAAAUAAAGGUUCCUCUUCAAAGAUUUUCCUCCCUAUUUAACUAGGAAUAAAUAGUAACUUCUCUUAGAAGCAAAAUUUAUUUAAAGACCUGUGCUAACAUUCUUAAAAAUCUGCUAGCUGUGAUAAAGAAAUCAAUGUACUUUAUGUUCUUAGCUCCCACAAUUUAGCCUAAAUAUUUGCCCUGGCAUGCUUAUACUGGUUCAAGCAAGCAUUAGGUCGUAGCCUGUUCCUCUUCCUUAUUUAAAGGUAUUUUUACCUUUCUCAGCAUUCCACAAGUUAACUUCCUGCUUCCUUGAUUCUCCUCUGCCUUUGCCUCUUUUAAAAAGUUCUGAGUUGCUAGCCAGUCGGGACAAAUACAGAAUGUCAGGUCCCGUUCCAGCCAGUGGAAACUGGACACAGCAGUAGGGUGGACGCGUGAGAUUAUAAAUGACCCUGUCUCUUUUGUUCGGUGUACUCUCGUGGCAGAACUGCUGGCGAGUAUACCCUUUCUGCAGAAAGUAUAAAAAUGGCCUUGCUGAGUAAAUUAAAUUUAUGUUCAAGUGCUAUUUCUUUGUGGCACCAGGGAACAAGCAUUUCAAACAUACUGCUGGUUCAAAUGGGCAAACAUGAAAUAUCUUCAGAGUAAUUCAAAAUAGGAACCUUUUGUAUCAGAGCUUUUCUAUUUGAUUGAAAAUAAAAUCAAGCCACUUAAAAUUCCAAUUAAAUGUUAAUUUUCUUAUAUUAAACUGAUAUUUUUUCCUCUCAAUUUUAUCUCUACUUCUGCAAUCUUAGGUGCUAUCAACAUCUCUCAUACACAUUUCUGAAAUCUGUUUUUAUUGGUUAUUUUAUUUUAAAAUUAUCACUACUCUUUAUCUACUUUGAACUUCUUUUUCCAAAAUGAUAAAUGCAAGCAGAAUAUUUUAAUAAAACCAUUGAAAAAGGCAAGCUUUAGUAACUAAGACAAUUGACCCAGUUUUUCCUUCCUCAGAAUUUUAAGAUCUUUAAAGCAGAAACUUGUGCUUUAAAACUGUAUUGAUACAUUUAAAAAUGAUAUAAUUUGUAUGUCAUUUAAAUGUUCAAGUAGGAAAAAGGAUGAUUAUUCCUUUACUUUUUUUUUUUUUUUUUUUUUUGAGACAGAGUCUUGCUCUGUUGCCCGGGCUGGAAUGCAGUGGCACAAUCUUGGCUAACUGCAACCCCCGCCUCCCAGGUUCAAACAAUUCUCCUGCCUCAGCAGCCUGAGUAGCUGGGACUACAGGUACACACCACCACGCCUGGCUAAUUUUUGUAUUUUUAGUAGAGAUAGAAUUUUGCCAUUUUGGCUAGGAUGGACUUGAACUCCUGACCUCAGGUGAUCCGCCCACCUCGGCCUCCCAAAGUGCUGGGAUUUUAGGUGUGAGCCACUGAACCCUUUACGUGUUUUUCUUAAACUGCUGGGUAUGGGGAGUGGGAAAGUAGGGAUCUUAGCUGUUCUAAGAUGAAAGAGUGGCAUCUCCUGCUAGAGUCCCAGUUGUAAUGGGUGGUAGGUGAGAUAUUGUAAAAUAUAUAUUUGGUCUUCCUCAUGUCUCCUGGAAUAUAACUCCUAAAAUCUUUGGAAUCUCCAAAGUGAUCUGUGUCUUUUUGUGUGCUAAUGAAUUUGCUGAUGCCUGGUCACCUCUGGUUAGCUUCAGGAUUGGGGCUGGUCACUGGAAAGACUGAGCCAUGAUUAGAGGGUUAGUACUUUCAGCCCCAUCCCCAACCUCUGGGAAGGGGAGGAAAGAAGGGCCAAAGAUUGAGUUGAUCACUCAGUGAUUCAACCAGUAAUAGCUAGUAAUGAAGCUUCCAUAGAACCACAAAAAGACUGGGUUCAGGUGUUACAGGAAAGGGGUUCUGAUCCAGACCCCAGGAGAGGGUUCUUGGAUCUCACGCAAGAAAGAAUUCAGGGCGAGUCUAUAGAGUAAAGUGAAAGCAAGUUUAUUAAGAAAGUAAAGGAAUGAAAGAAUGGCUACUCCAUAGACAGAACAGCCCCAAGGGCUGCUGGUUGCUCAUUUUUAUGGUUAUAUGUUGAUGAUAUGCUAAACAAGGGGUGGAUUAUUCAUGCCUCCCCUUUUUAGACCAUAUAGGGUGACUUCCUGACAGUGCCAUGGGAUUUGUAAACUGUCAUGGCGCUGAUGGGAGUGUAGCAGUGAGGACAACCAGAGGUCACUCUCAUGGCCAUCGCAGUUUUGGUGAGUUUUAGCCAGCUCCUUUACUGUAACCUGUUUUAUUAGAAGGUCUUUAUGACCUGUAUUUUGUGCUGACCUCCUAUCUCAUCCUGUGGCUUAGAAUGCCUUAACCGUCUGGGAAUGCAGCCCAGUAGGUCUCAGCCUCAUUUUACCCAGCUCCUACUCAAGGUGGAGUUGCUUUGGUUCACACAUCUCUAACACAGGGAACUUCCAGAUAGCUGAACCCAUAGAGGUUCUGUACUGGAAAGGGGUCCCUAUCCAGACCCCAAGAGAGGGUUCUUGGAUCUUGCGCAAGAAAGAAUUCAGGGCGAGUCCACAGAGUAAAGUGAAAGUGAGUUUAUUAAGAAAGUAAAGGAAUAAAGAAUGUCUGCUCCAUAGGCAGAGCAGCAGCAAGGGCUGCUCCACUAAGGAUAGUUAUAGUUAUUUCUUGAUUAUAUACUAAACAAGGGGUGAAUUAUUCAUGAGUUUUCUGGGAGAGGGGUGGGCAAUUCCCGAAACUGAGGGUUCCUCCCCCUUUUAGACCAUAUAGGGUAACUUUCUGACAUUGCUAGGGCAUUUGUAAACUAUCAUGGCACUGUUGGGAGUGUGUUUUAGCAUACUAAUGCAUUAUAAUUAGUGUAUAAUGAGCAGUAUGGACUACCAGAGGCCACUUUCGUGGCCAUCUUGGUUUUGGUGGGUUUGGGCCAGCUUCUUUACUGCAACCAGUUUUAUCAGCGUGGUCUUUACGACCUGUGUCUUGUGCCGACCUCCUGUCUCAUCCUGUGAUUUAGAAUGCCUAACCUCCUGGGAAUUCAGCCUGGUAGGUCUCAGCCUUAUUUUACACAGUCCCUACUCAAGAUGGAGUUGCUCUGGUUCAGACGCCUCUGGCAGUUCCUGGAGGGUGGCAUCCCCAGAGAGGGCGUGAAAGCCCUGGGCCCCUUGCCCCAUAUCCUGCCCUAUCCUCUUCAUCUGGUGUUCAUUGAUACCCUUUGUAAUAGCCUUUAUUAUAAACCCAUAAAUGUAAGUAUAAGUGUUUCCCUGAGUUCUGUGAACUGCUCUAGAAAGUAAUCAAACCCCAGGAGUGCGGUGUGGGAACCCUGCUUUAUAGCUAGUUGGUCAGAAGCACAGAUAAAACAACCUGGGGCUUGCGAUUGGAAUCAGAAGUGGGAGACAGUUUUCUAGGACUGAGCCCUCAACCUGUGAGAUCUGUUGCUGUCUCCUGGUAAGUAGUGUCAUAACUGAAUUGACUUAGAAGACACCCAGCUAGCGUCUGCUGCAAGAUUGCUUGCUUGGCGUGUGGAGAAAAUCUCCCACACAUUUGGUCACAGAAGUGUUCUGUGUUGUGAGAGUCUAAUAGGAAGAAACUGAGUUCUUUCGUUCUAUAUCAUCCAAGAAGGUAAUACUAAAUAUUAUUUUACAUUAAAACCACACCAUAUAUUAUGAAGAAAAAUGCCAAAAUUGUAGGAGUUUAAAGUAAUUUCUUGCUUAAAAGGGAAUUAGUUGGGGAUACUCCAAACUCCUGGAAGCACACGUUCAUUCUGCUUUGCUGAUAGGGUUGUAUCUGGAAAGGGUUUUGAAAAGUCAGUAAUAUCUUCUGCACUAGAAGUUAUUUAUAUUCUUUUUGUAUUCCUUCCAGAGGUGGAUAGAAUGUAGUAAGAACCAAUUUUGUGUGUUGAACAUUUGGGUUUCAUUUUCAUAUUAUUUUAGAAGUGGAAAGGACUUCGGAGAUUAUUUUAUUCAAAUCCCUUAUUUUUUAGAUGAGGCCUGGAGAAGAGGGUAUGUGUUCUUGCCCAAGAUCAUUUCUUGGGUAUUAGAACUUUAAUUUCCUGAUACCAUCUAAUAUUUAUUGAAUUGCACUGGUCUCUUUGUAGCUAAGGUAGGAGAUUAGAAACUGGUUUAAGACAUUAAGGUUGGAGAAUAUUGGUCAAUUGAAUAUAAAGCUAUCAAUCAGUGAACCUACUAUGUACUUUAUUGGAAUUUUUGGAAAAAUGAAAAAUUAAAUCAGUUAUCAAUUAUUACACUUUGCCCCCAACUCAGACAGUUGCUGAUAACAAGAAUUACACUGGAAAGCAGUUGAUUAAAUCAGUGAUUUUGUUUUUGAACAGUUGUGUGGGGCAUCAAUAUAGGAGAUGUUACUGCCAACAGAUAAUUAUUUAGCUUUGAAAUAAAUGGUUUGAAAACUUGCUUUUAUAAAAUAUUUGAAGAAAUAUCAACUUCUUUAUUCUUAGUAAGGAAAAAAUUCAUUCUAAAUUUUCACAUUGAGAGAGGGACUGCUGAUUAUAGUUGGUGUGAAUGGGCUUACAGCUUAAAACAUUUAGACAUCGAAUUGAUUUUAAGUGUUUUAGAACUGAAGGAACCUGGAUUUGCAAUUUGAACUCCCUCGAAGAAUUGUUUUUUACUUUCAUUUGCCACAACAUAAUGUGUUAAAGAAAGAACUAGGCAGAAUUUAUCCAGUAACUAAAAGUUUUAUUGGAAAUGUUACUAGUUGGAUGUUCUAUUUUGUUCUUUGAACUUCCCUCUGCUGAUCUUGUUUUGAAAAAGAUCAUCCCUUAUGUUUGGCAAAUCUUGCUGCAUUGAUGAUUCAUCUUUCUGUUUGUACAAGGCAUCUUCAGAAUAUACACAGAGCUCGUAUUUGUAAUAUAUGUAUACGUACAUAUAUACAUAUAAAUCUGAAAAUUUUUGAGUCCCAGCAUAAUAUACCAAGGAGAUGCUCAUUGGAACAUUUCAGAUUUUGGAUUUUCAGAUCAGAGAUGCUCAACCAGCAACAAUGCAAAUAUUCCAAUAAUCUGUACAUACACACAAUGAGAAGUUAUUAAGUAAAACUAUCUCAGAGUGUCUGGGGGAGAAGGUUGAUAGAUAUGUCAUCUCUCAGGUAUUUAUCCCCAAACUGCAAAUUUCUGUAUGUCCGAGGAAAGGACAAACCCAUUAAACCUACUUUAUUAUUUAUUUUCCAAACUUUCUGUGUUUUAGUUAGAAGCGUGAUAGAUACAGUCAACCCUUUGAAAAACUUUUUUAGGAUUUUUUGUUGUUAAAAUGAUGUUCGUAAAAACAAGCCUUCUAUAAAGAUAUCUUUCAGUUUUUAUAUACCCAAAUUAAAAGAAUAAUAGGAUAGGGAUUAUAACUUUUGAUUAUAUUACAAUUGAAAACAAUAUGGUCAUACAAACUUUUUUUGUUUUUCCUUUCCUUGAGAAAAAUUUAAGACUGAAGAGAAGUACAGAGAAUUAAAAAAAAAAAAAAGAAAACCCUACUGUGUUUCUUCUGCCAGCAUUUAACAAGUGUUUAUGCAGUCAUUUUUAAACUUAAAGAAAGGGAAACAUAACACACAAAGUUGAUGUCCUGUUUGAUACCCACCAACCCCCUGGGCAAUCACUAUCCUGAGUUUGGGUGUCUAUUAUUCUAGUAUUUAAAAAGUACUUUUUAAAAAAAAAAUUUUUUUUUGAGACGGAGUCUUGCUGUGUCGCCCAGGCUGGAGUGCAGUGGUGCGAUCUCGGCUCACUGCAAGCUCCGCCUCCCUGGUUCAUGCCAUUCUCCUGCCUCAGCUUCCCAAGUAGCUGGGACUACAAGGCGCCCGCCACUACCCCCGGCUAAUUUUUUGUAUUUUGGUAGAGACGGGGUUUCACUGUGUUAGCCAGGUUGGUCUCGAUCUCCUGACCUCGUGAUCCGCCCGCCUCGGCCUCCUAAAGUGCUGGGAUUACAGGCAUGAGCCACCGCGCCUAGCCUAAAAAGUACUUUUACAUACAUCUCCAUUUCUACAACCAAUAUUGGUGGUAGAGAUAGCAAUAAUAAAAUGAUAAUGAUCAUAAUAGCAGCUUACGUUUAUUGAGUAUGUACUGAGUUCCAGGAGAUGAGUCCAAGAACUUUAUAUGUGUUAUAUCAUGUAGCCCUCAUGGCAAUGAUAGAGGUUCUUUUAUUAUCCAUUAUAUUACAGAUAAGGAAAUUGAGCCAUGGGGAAAUUAAGCAACUUGCCCCAGUCAGCUAGUAAAUGGUAUAGCCUAGAUUCAAACCUAGCUGUUCUGACAGACUUUUUGGGGUUUUCCUUUUAACUUACAUAGUUUGAUUCCUCUAAUAUUGUUUGUGUGAUCUUCAUCUUCUUUCUAGUAUUUAGCUGGAUUCUUCUGAUGGGUUUUUGAGGUAUUCAGUAUCAUGUAAAUAAUAAAAAUGUCUAGAAUAUAUAAUACAUUUAUUUAUUUAUUUAUUUAUUUAUUUAUUUAUUUUGAGACAGGGCUCGCUUGGUCGCCCAGGCUGGAGAGACCUGGGUGGCAUCAUCUCGGCUCACUGCAACUUCCACCUCCCGGGUUCAGGUGAUUCUCCUGCCUCAGCCUUCCAAAUACCUGGGAUUACAGGUGCCCGCCACAACGCCUAGCUAAUUUUUGUAUUUUUAGUCGAGAUGGGGUUUCACCAUGUUGGCCAGGCUGGUCUCGAACUCCUGACCUUGGGUGAUCUGCCUGCCUCGGCUUUCCGAAGUGCGGGGAUCACAGGCGUAAGCCACCAUGCCGGACCUCAGUUUCAUUAUUGAUAAUAGUGGUGACAAGUGGGCACUCUUAUAUUCUACUUGACUCUAGAGUCAAUACUGCUAAUGGUUUUGUUUUGUGAUAUAUAAUUUUAAAUCAUUUAAAAAAACCUUUUGGCCGGGCGCGGUGGCUCACGCCUGUAAUCCCAGCACUUUGGGAGGCCGAG